CAAAUCUGUGAGUGGUUUCUGACUCAUUUAGAGUUAGCAUUUUCCAUCUUCAGUGUGUUAUGCUUUACAGAACACCACAAUUUAAGAAUUCACACCCCACUAAUUCAUUGUAUCUUUGUAGAUUAUGCAGCUAAAUUCAUCAAGAAGACUGAAGCAUAUAUUUUCAACACACAAAGAAACCACAGAACUACUGGGUGUCACGUAACAGCUGCAUUGCGGCCAACUUUUGCUCAGAGCUACACUUACUUUGGCCCCAGUGUCGUGCACUCUUACUGUAUGUAUUCCAAAGUUUUUCAAGGCUUUUCCUGGAAGAACAAUACUUGGCAACUUCAUCAAUUUUUAUGGGUGAAAGAUUGUACUUGGCAAAACUGGAUGGAGAGAGACCAAAUGAGAGAUGAUGAGCUCUUGAACUUGGGAGAUACGAAUGAGAAACAGAGCAGGUGACUGGUAAAAGGCUCAUCAAGUAAAAUUCUUUGUGGUGGAGCUGCUGGUGCCAGUUGGUCCAAUUCUCCUGAUCCUUCCCCUUCCAGGCACCUCAAAUAGAGGAGGAUUCAUCAAGAAUUUUGCAUGCAAGGG
rnacentral:lncRNA from 1 species